AACGCACAUUGCGCCCCCUGGUAUUCCGGGGGGCAUGCCUGUCCGAGCGUCAUUACAACCCUCAAGCUCAGCUUGGUAUUGGGCCCCGCCGACCCGGCGGGCCCUAAAGUCAGUGGCGGUGCCGUCCGGCUCCGAGCGUAGUAAUUCUUCUCGCUCUGGAGGUCCGGUCGUGUGCUCGCCAGCAACCCCCAAUUUUUUCAGGUUGACCUCGGAUCAGGUAGGGAUACCCGCUGAACUUAA
rnacentral:misc_RNA from 1 species